GUGUCAGCAGCCGCGGUAAUACGGAGGGCGCAAGCGUUGUUCGGAAUCAUUGGGCGUAAAGCGCGUGUAGGCGGCUUGGUCAGUCGGGUGUGAGAGCCCGGGGCUCAACCCCGGAACGGCACUCGAUACUGCCUCGCUAGAGUCCCGGAGAGGAAGGCGGAAUUCCGGGUGUAGAGGUGAAAUUCGUAGAUAUCCGGAAGAACACCAGUGGCGAAGGCGGCCUUCUGGACGGUGACUGACGCUGAGACGCGAAAGCGUGGGGAGCAAACAGGAUUAGAUACCCUGGUAGUCCACGCCGUAAACGUUGGGUGCUAGGUGUCGCGGGUAUUGACCCCUGCGGUGCCGGCGUUAACGCAUUUAGCACCCCGCCUGGGGAGUACGGUCGCAAGGCUAAAACUCAAAGGAAUUGGCGGGG
rnacentral:rRNA from 1 species